rnacentral:rRNA from 1 species
GAUGAACGCUGGCGGCGUGCCUAAUACAUGCAAGUCGAGCGAACGGACGAGAAGCUUGCUUCUCUGAUGUUAGCGGCGGAAGGGUGAGUAACACGUGGAUAACCUACCUAUAAGACUGGGAUAACUUCGGGAAACCGUAGCUAAUACCGGAUAAUAUUUUGAACCGCAUGGUUCAAAAGUGAAAGACGGUCUUGCUGUCACUUAUAGAUGGAUCCGCGCGGCAUUAGCUAGUUGGUAAGGUAACGGCUUACCACGGCAACGAUGCAUAGCAGACCUGAGAGGAUCGUCGGCCACCCUGGAACUUAACAACGGUCCAUAUUCAUACGGGAGGCGGCAGUAGGGUAUCUUCCGGAAUGGACGAAAGCCUGACGUAGCAGCGCGGCGUCGGUAAUGAAGCGCUUCGGAUCCUAAAACUCUGUUAGUAGGGAAGAAGAUAUUUAUAAUGUUCUGCGCACAUUUUGACGGUACCUUGACAGAAAGCCACGGCUAAAUGCGUG